UGGUGUUUGCUUGGUUGAUCAGGAGUCUCAGUCUGUUUGUUGCAAAAAGAUUAAACACUUUGAUCUAAUGUUCAUAACAGCAACCUGGACUGCACAGAAGAGCUGGAGAGGAGAAUAUUGAAUAUAGAAGACCAGGGCAGAAGCUUCGUGUUCACCUGAUCGGAACGUUCUGGAGGUUUGGAGCAGUGUUGUGCUGAAGAAGCUGACUGGAACGUUGCAGCACAUUAAUCUUGUACAAGUUUUUCAUUUCAACCUUCUAACAACAUUAAUACAACGUUUAAUGUCUCAAAAACAGUGGUUUAAAGAAGUUUGUGCACCACUGGUGAAGAUUUUAAUAAUAUAAGACUCUACAAUAGAGGAGAAGUUCUGAUUAUUUGCUUGAUUUGACUUUUGUUUGAUGACCUGCAUGAAUUUACUCUCCAUGUUCCAGUAGAUCAGAUCCAGUAAAUAAAAUCUAAUGUGAA